CAGAUUGACGGAAGGGCACCAUCAGGUCUGGAUUGUGCGGCUCAAUUGGAUUCAACGCCCGACACCCCACCAGGACAGGAGCGCUCGAUGAAGCACCGGCCGAAUACCUCUGCCGAUGAGCGUGCAGGUGGUGCAUGGCCGCCGUAGUUCGUGAGGUGACUUGUCUGGUUUAUUCCGACAACGAACGCAACCACAUUGCUCUACUAUCCGGCGAGCCCCUAACGGGGUCCGCAAGAAACUGGAGCAGACCAAUCGCACGAUGGGCUCAGCCCAAGGCGAAGGAAGCUUAGGCGAUGGCAGGUCUGUGAUGCCCCUAGAUGCCCUGGAUCGCACGCGCAAUACAAUGGCGACUCAAACGCGCAGGUUCGUCCGAGAGGACUUACAAAUCGCACAAAAAGUC
rnacentral:rRNA from 1 species